GAUGAACGCUAGCUACAGGCUUAACACAUGCAAGUCGAGGGGUAACAAGAGGAAAGCUUGCUUUUCUUGUUGACGACCGGCGCACGGGUGAGUAACGCGUAUCCAACCUGCCUAUAACUAGGGAAUAACCUUGCGAAAGUAAGACUAAUACCCUAUGAUUUCCUUUGAUGACAUCAGAUUAGGAAUAAAGGUUUAUCGGUUAUAGAUGGGGAUGCGUCUGAUUAGCUUGUUGGCGGGGUAACGGCCCACCAAGGCAACGAUCAGUAGGGGUUCUGAGAGAAAGGUCCCGCACAUUGGAACUGGGACACUGUCCAAACUCCUACGGGAGGCAGCAGUGAGGAAUAUUGGUCAAUGGGCGGAAGCCUGAACCAGCCAAGUAGCGUGCAGGAUGACGGCCCUAUGGGUUGUAAACUGCUUUUAUACAGGAAUAAAGUUAGCCACGUGUGGUUAUUUGUAGGUACUGUAUGAAUAAGGACCGGCUAAUUCCGUGCCAGCCGCCGCAGUAA
rnacentral:rRNA from 1 species